rnacentral:rRNA from 1 species
AACAAGGAUUCCCCUAGUAACUGCGAGUGAAGCGGGAAAAGCUCAAAUUUAAAAUCUGGCGGUCUUUGGCCGUCCGAGUUGUAAUUUAGAGAAGUGUUAUCCGCGCUGGACCGUGUACAAGUCUCCUGGAACGGAGCGUCAUAGAGGGUGAGAAUCCCGUCUUUGACACGGACCACCAGUGCUUUGUGAUGCGCUCUCGAAGAGUCGAGUUGUUUGGGAAUGCAGCUCAAAAUGGGUGGUAAAUUCCAUCUAAAGCUAAAUAUUGGCGAGAGACCGAUAGCGAACAAGUACCGUGAGGGAAAGAUGAAAAGAACUUUGGAAAGAGAGUUAAACAGUACGUGAAAUUGUUGAAAGGGAAACGCUUGAAGUCAGUCGCGUUGUCCGGGGAUCAACCUUGCAUUCGUGCUUGGCGUACUUCCCGGUCGACGGGUCAGCAUCAAUUUUGACCGCUGGAUAAAGGUCAGGGGAAUGUGGCAUCCUCGGAUGUGUUAUAGCCUCUGGCUGCAUACAGCGGUUGGGAUUGAGGAACUCAGCACGCCGCAAGGCCGGGUUUUUUCAACCACGUACGUGCUUAGGAUGCUGGCAUAAUGGCUUUAAUCGACCCGUCUUGAAACACGGACCAAGGAGUCUAACAUGCCCGCGAGUGUUUGGGUGGAAAACCCGAGCGCGUAAUGAAAGUGAAAGUUGAGAUCUCUGUCGUGGAGAGCAUCGACGCCCGGACCAGACCUUCUGUGACGGAUCCGCGGUAGAGCGUGUGUGUUGGGACCCGAAAGAUGGUGAACUAUGCCUGAAUAGGGUGAAGCCAGAGGAAACUCUGGUGGAGGCUCGUAGCGAUUCUGACGUGCAAAUCGAUCGUCGAAAUUUGGGUAUAGGGGCGAAAGACUAA